rnacentral:rRNA from 1 species
CGGUCCAGACUCCUACGGGAGGCAGCAGUGGGGAAUAUUGCACAAUGGGCGCAAGCCUGAUGCAGCGACGCCGCGUGGGGGAUGACGGCCUUCGGGUUGUAAACUCCUUUCGACAGGGACGAAGCUAACGUGACGGUACCUGUAGAAGAAGCACCGGCUAACUACGUGCCAGCAGCCGCGGUAA